GGGGCAAUGGCGUAGUUGGGAGCGCGUUUGACUGAAGAACAAACUUCAGGAACAAGGUUUUCACCUAGUUGAUCAGAAGGUCACCGGUUCGAUCCCGGUUUGCCCCA
rnacentral:tRNA from 2 species